rnacentral:rRNA from 1 species
AUUGAACGCUGGCGGCAUGAUUUACACAUGCCAGUCGAACGGUAACAGGCCGCAAGGUGCUGACGAGUGGCGAACGGGUGAGUAAUGCAUCGGAACGUGCCCAGUCGUGGGGGAUAACUACUCGAAGGAGUAGCUAAUACCGCAUACGAUCUAUGGAUGAAAGCGGGGGACCGUAAGGCCUCGCGCGAUUGGAGCGGCCGAUGUCAGAUUAGGUAGUUGGUGGGGUAAAGGCUCACCAAGCCAACGAUCUGUAGCUGGUCUGAGAGGACGACCAGCCACACUGGGACUGAGACACGGCCCAGACUCCUACGGGAGGCAGCAGUGGGGAAUUUUGGACAAUGGGCGCAAGCCUGAUCCAGCAAUGCCGCGUGCAGGAAGAAGGCCUUCGGGUUGUAAACUGCUUUUGUACGGAACGAAACGGCUCUGGUUAAUACCCGGGGCUAAUGACGGUACCGUAAGAAUAAGCACCGGCUAACUACGUG